rnacentral:lncRNA from 1 species
GAACGGGCUCGAGAACCCCGUCUUCCUGAUUUGAAAUGGUUAAGUAGGGAAUGAGCUACACUAGCCCAGUAAGGACAUCACACUAUCUCACUGCCACCGGAGUAAAGGUCGGUAGAAAAUAAAAAUGACAAAUGGAGCAUAAUUUAUAACAAACUCAUUUAUUAACAUAAAAACCUUUACUGUCCACUUAUCUCGGUGAGAUUCAUGAAAAUAACAUAUGAAAACAAUAACAUUAUAACCAUCAUAAAAUCAUAUCGACUUUGUAACAGAACACAUGUCAUACUUUUGCACUUCAAUAAUCAGAC